rnacentral:rRNA from 1 species
CGAGUACGAUUUGAGAGGGUGGUUUUGAGAGUCGAGGGGCAAACGGGGGAGUAACGCGGAGACGAGCUGCCGCAAAGAUGGGGACAACAGUCCGAAAGGACUGCUAAUACCGAAGGUUGUAUCGUUUCCGCAUGGAGAUGAUAUUAAAGAUGGCCUCUACUUGUAAGCUAUCGCUUUGCGAUGGGUCUGCGUCUGAUUAGCUAGUUGGUGGGGUAACGGCCUACCAAGGCGACGAUCAGUAGCCGGUCUGAGAGGAUGAACGGCCACAUUGGAACUGAGACACGGUCCAGACUCCUACGGGAGGCAGCAGUGGGGAAUCUUCCGCAAUGGGCGAAAGCCUGACGGAGCAACGCCGCGUGAGUGAAGAAGGGUUUCGGCUCGUAAAGCUCUGUUGUCGGGGACGAAUGUGCGAGAUGCGAAUAGUUUCUUGCAAUGACGGUACCUGACGAGGAAGCCACGGCUAACUACGUGCCAGCAGCCGCGGUAAUACGUAGGUGGCGAGCGUUGUCCGGAAUUAUUGGGCGUAAAGGGAGCGCAGGCGGGAAGGCAAGUCAGUCUUAAAAGUGCGGGGCUCAACCCCGUGAUGGGAUUGAAACUGUCUUUCUUGAGUGCAGGAGAGGAAAGCGGAAUUCCUAGUGUAGCGGUGAAAUGCGUAGAUAUUAGGAGGAACACCAGUGGCGAAGGCGGCUUUCUGGACUGUAACUGACGCUGAGGCUCGAAAG